AGUGAACGCUGGCGGUAGGCCUAACACAUGCAAGUCGAACGGCAGCACAGUAAGAGCUUGCUCUUACGGGUGGCGAGUGGCGGACGGGUGAGGCAUACAUCGGAAUCUACUUUUUCGUGGGGGAUAACGUAGGGAAACUUACGCUAAUACCGCAUACGACCUACGGGUGAAAGCAGGGGAUCUUCGGACCUUGCGCGAUUGAAUGAGCCGAGGUCGGAUUAGCUAGUUGGCAGGGUAAAGGCCCACCAAGGCGACGAUCCGUAGCUGGUCUGAGCGGAUGGUCGGCCACACGGGAACUGGGACACGGGCCAGACUCCUACGGGAGGAAGCAGUGGGGAAUAUUGGACAAUGGGCGCAAGCCUGAUCCAGCCAGACCGCGGGGGUGAAGAAGGCCUUCGGGUUGUAAAGCCCUUUUGUUGGGAAAGAAAAGCAGCAGGUUAAGACCCCGCUGUUCUGACGGUACCCAAAGAAUAAGCACCGGCUAACUUCGU
rnacentral:rRNA from 1 species